rnacentral:rRNA from 1 species
AGAGCGAACGCUGGCGGCAGGCCUAACACAUGCAAGUCGAGUGCCCGUAGCAAUACGGGAGCGGCAGACGGGAUAGUAACACGUGGGAACGCGCCCUUCGGUUCGGAAUAACUCAGGGAAACUUGAGCUAAUACCGGAUACGCCCUUACGGGGAAAGAUUUAUUGCCGAAGGAACGGCCCGCGUCCGAUUAGCUAGUUGGUGAGGUAAUGGCUCACCAAGGCGACGAUCGGUAGCUGGUCUGAGAGGAUGACCAGCAUCACUGGGACUGAGACACGGCCCAGACUCCUACGGGAGGCAGCAGUGGGGAAUAUUGGACAAUGGGCGCAAGCCUGAUCCAGCCAUGCCGCGUGGAUGAUGAAGGCCUUAGGGUUGUAAAGUCCUUUUAACGGGGAAGAUAAUGACGGUACCCGUAGAAUAAGCCCCGGCUAACUUCGUGCCAGCAGCCGC